GCGACAUGACAUAAUUUUAUUCUUUUCCAGGAAGGCCAGAGGCAGAAGCAUUACACACAUUUAUUACAGAUUGAAUUUUCAUUUAUUGUAUAACCAGUGCCAAGUUGAUUCUAUACAUGUGAUCGAACACGAUAAUUGGUACACUGGGGGAGUGUCCUUUACAAUUCUUUAAUACUAGAAAAAAGUCCCCUCAAUGUUCUAAUACCCUCACUGAACCAAUCGGUUGAAGAGGCUACUUGGGAUACCGAAGCAGACAUGUGCAAGAAGUAUUCCUAAUUAUUCAUCGAUUCAUUAUUUAUCGUGAGUCUUCUAUUUUUCCUUCUUUUUUCAUUUAGAAAUAAACUUAUGUUUAACUAGCAUCUAAUAUAACAACUCAUUUCAUCAU
rnacentral:misc_RNA from 1 species